rnacentral:rRNA from 1 species
UUAAGUUAAUAAGGGCGUACAGUGGAUGCCUUGGCACUAGAAGACGAAGAAGGACGCGACUACCUGCGAUAAGCUAUGGGGAGCUGGUGUAAGCUUUGAUCCGACGAUCUCCGAAUGGGGAAACCCGGCAUGAAAAUCAUGUCAUCUUCGAGCACAAGCUCGAAUGAAGUAACACCUAGGGAAUUGAAACAUCUUAGUACCUAGAGGAAAAGAAAGAUUAAUCGAUUCCGUAAGUAGCGGCGAGCGAAAGCGGAGGAGCCCAAACUCAGAUUUAUCUGAGGGUUCGGACCACAACAUAGCAUAGUUGUAUGACAGUAGAAUGACUUGGGAAAGUCAACCAAAGAAGGUGAGAGUCCUGUAUAUAAACUUGUACAACAGCUUAGUGAGUUCCAGAGUACGGCGAGGCACGUGGAACCUUGUCGGAAUGCGUGGAGACCACUCCAUAAGGCUAAAUACUAACUAGUGACCGAUAGUGAACCAGUACUGUGAAGGAAAGGUGAAAAGAACCCCGGGAGGGGAGUGAAAAGAAUCUGAAACUGUAUGCUUACAAAAAGUCAAAGCCCGUUAAUGGGUGAUGGCGUGCCUAUUGAAGAAUGAACCGGCGAGUUUUGUUAUCGUGCAAGGUUAAGUCGAAGAGACGGAGCCGCAGCGAAAGCGAGUCUAAAUAGGGCUAAAGUACGAUGACAUAGACCCGAAACCCGACGAUCUAUCCAUGAGCAGGUUGAAGGUGGGGUAAAACCCACUGGAGGACCGAACCGACGUUCGUUGAAACGCCCGCGGAUGACUUGUGGAUAGGGGAGAAAUUCCAAUCGAGUUGGGAGAUAGCUGGUUCUCCUCGAAAUAGUUUUAGGACUAGCGUCAGGUAAUAAAUAGUGGCGGUAGAGCACUGAAUAGACGCGGGUCGCACCUAGCGAUACCAAUUCUAAUCAAACUCCGAAUUCCAUUAUUCGUAUCCUGGCAGUCAGAGUGUGGGGGAUAAGCUUCAUGCUCAAAAGGGAAACAGCCCAGACCGUCAACUAAGGUCCCUAAAUCUACGCUAAGUGUUAAAGGAUGUGAAGAUGCAUAAACAACUAGGAUGUUGGCCCAGAAGCCGCCAUCAUUUAAAGAGUGCGUAACAGCUCACUAGUCGAGUGCCUUCGCGCCGAAGAUUUACCGGGGCUAAGCGUAGUACCGAAGUUACGGAUUUAUAGUUUUAACUAUAAGUGGUAGAGGAGCGUUCUAUGUGGGGUGAAGUCAUACCGGAAGGAGUGAUGGACUGCAUAGAAGUGAGUAUGCCGGUGUAAGUAACGAUUGCAUGUGAGAAUCAUGCACACCAUUAGACUAAGGUUUCCAGGGGAAGGGUCGUCCUCCCUGGGUUAGUCGGGUCCUAAGGCGAGGCCGAGAGGCGUAGUCGAUGGAUAGCAGGUUGAUAUUCCUGCACACAUGUAUAUGCGAUGUAAUGACAGAGGUGGCUAAUUGUACUGGUUAUUGGAUUCCAGGAUAAGCGAGGUACCUGGCUUGGUAGCAAAUCUCCAAGCCUUAAGGGGAAAGCGUGAUGUCGAUCGAACGAGCUUGCUCAAGUAGAGAAGUCGAUGAUGCCAACUCUCGAGAAAAGUUGCUAGCUUAAGUAUACAUGUCCCGUACCGAGAACGGACACACGUGGUCAAGGAGAGUAUCCUAAGGUGAGCGAGUGAACUGUUGUUAAGGAACUCUGCAAAAUUACUUCGUAAGUUCGCAAGAAGAAGUGCCUGUGAAAGCAGGCCGCAGUGAAGAGGCCCAAGUAACUGUUUAUCAAAAACAUAGCUCUAUGCUAAGCCGUAAGGCGAUGUAUAUGGGGUGAUGCCUGCCCAGUGCAGGAAGGUUAAGAGGAGAGGUCAGCGCAAGCGAAGCUUUGAAUCGAAGCCCCUGUGAACGGCGGCCGUAACAAUAACGGUCCUAAGGUAGCGAAAUUCCUUGUCGGGUAAGUUCCGACGCGCAUGAAUGGUAUAAUAAUUUGGGCGCUGUCUCGACAGCAGACUCGGUGAAAUCUUAAUACCUGUGAAGAUGCAGGUUACCCGCGACUAGACGGAGAGACCCCAUGGAGCUUUACUGUAACUUAAUAUUGAGUGCUUGGAAUUCAUAUGUAGGAUAGGUUGGAGACUGUGAAAUCGGUGCGCUAGCAUCGAGGGAGUCAUCGGUGAAAUACAACUUUUGGAUUUCAAUCAUUCUAACUCAUAGAUUUACUCUCUAGAGGACAGUGUUAGGCGGGCAGUUUGACUGGGGCGGUCGCCUCCCAAAAUGUAACGGAGGCGCCCCAAGGUACCCUCAAUACGGUUGGAAAUCGUAUUUCGAGUGCAAUGGCAUAAGGGUGCUUGACUGCGAGAGGUACAUCUCGAGCAGGGACGAAAGUCGGGCAUAGUGAUCCGGCGAUUCCGAGUGGAAGGAUCGUCGCUCAACGGAUAAAAGCUACCCUGGGGAUAACAGGCUGAUCGUUUCCAAGAGUUCACAUCGACGAAACGGUUUGGCACCUCGAUGUCGGCUCAUCACAUCCUGGAGGGGAAGUACCUUCCAAGGGUUUGGCUGUUCGCCAAUUAAAGUGGUACGCGAGCUGGGUUCAAAACGUCGUGAGACAGUUUGGUCCCUAUCUGUCGUGGGCGUAGGAAGUUUGAACGGACCUGUCCUUAGUACGAGAGGACCGGGAUGGACAUGGCAACGGUAUAUCAGUUGUUCCGCCAGGAGCAUGGCUGAGUAGCUGCCCAUGGAAAGGAUAAACGCUGAAAGCAUCUAAGCGCGAAGCCUACCGUAAGAUGAGACUUCCCAUUCGUAAGAAGUAAGUGCCCUUCAAUGUCAGGAGGUUGAUAGGAUACAGCUGUAAGCACUGUAAGGUGUUUAGGUGAGUAUUACUAAUAGCACGAGGACUUAAUUU